CUUUGCAUUGGAGGCUCAUUAGGUAACUUCCACCAUCAAUGUUAGUUGGAGAGAUUGAGUUCUGCCAGCUCUGCAAUCCUAACUGAGACUGAAACUCAAUUGAUCUACUUCUGUUGCUGAUGAAAAUGAACGAUUCUGAUUCCAAGUCAAUCCCAGUGGCAAGUAGAAACAUGGAUUUAGUGUUUGCAAUGUGGCAAUUUUUUUUUUUUUUAACCUGUUCUUUGCCUGCAGAAGACAGCCUCGCUAGCCUGGCUGGUGGUCCCACGGUGGGGCUUCCUCCUAUCGUUGGUAGGAAAGGUCCAGGUCAUCAGAGCAGCAUGGCCUGUUUUAAAGCAAACAGCAAAGACUCCAAAGAUAUCCCCGCAGGCGUCGUUAGGGGCGGUUUACCAGAGGAGCUGAGAGCAGAAUUAUAUAAUGAAUGGCAGCCAAAAAAAAACAGGUUUCAAGUCUGAUGCUGGCAGUUCUGAUUCAGAAUUACCUCAAAGCGAGCACAGAGAAGAGGCGCAUUACCUAACAGUGAGGCUGAAGAAUACCAAUGCCACCUCCAGGGCACACCCAUCACAGCGGGGGAUUCCGCCCAUGUUUGAGGUCGAGGUGCGGAAUCAGGCGAGGGCCUGGCUUCUCUCCGACAGCCUGGGGCCUCCAGUACCUGCCCACUCCACAGCUGUUCCCCAUCCACAGGCAGAGGGAGGGUAGGGCCUGGCACCCUUAGACAGCUGGGGACAUCUGGAGUCCAGCACCACAGCUGGAUCUCCUCCACA